ensembl:snRNA U6 U6 spliceosomal RNA
GUGCUCACUUGGGAAGCACAUAUUCUAAAAUUGGAAUGAUACAGAGAAGAUUAGCGUGGCCCCUGCACAAGGAUGAUAUGCAAGUUUGUGAAGUAUUCCAUAUUUUU